rnacentral:rRNA from 1 species
CCUACGGGUGGCAGCAGUGAGGAAUAUUGGUCAAUGGGCGUAAGCCUGAACCAGCCAAGUCGCGUGAGGGAUGAAGGUUCUAUGGAUCGUAAACCUCUUUUAUAAGGGCAUAAGUGCGGUACGUGUCACGUUUUGUACGUACCUUAUGAAUAAGGAUCGGCUAACUUCGUGCCAGCAGCCGCGGUAAUACGGAGGGUCCGAGCGUUAUCCGGAUUUUGUGGGUUUAAAGGGUGCGUAGGCGGCCUUUUAAGUCAGCGGGGAAAGUGUGUGGCUCAACCCUGGAAUUGCCGUUGAAACUGGGGGGCUUGAGGUGGUUGGAGGCAGGCGGAAUGCGUGGUUUAGCGGUGAAAUGCUUAGAUAUCACGCAGAACCCCGAUUGCGAAGGCAGCCUGCCAAGCCAUGACUGACGCUGAUGCACGAAAGCGUGGGGAUCAAACAGGAUUAGAUACCCGGGUAGUC